rnacentral:lncRNA from 1 species
UUUGAAAUUAAACAUCCAAUGGUCGACCAUUCGUUUGUUAAAUUAUCAUUUUCAACUACAUCCGAUUAGGUCUAAUCUGGAUUGGUUCAGCCCACACUUCUAUAAAAAUAAUGUUACAAGUUUUGAAUUUUAUGUUUGGAUCUAAAAUAUACGUUCAAUGGAGAAAGUCUUUCAUUCACAUGCAAUCUAGUGAACAAUCUUCUUAAUCAUUAUCAUUUUUUACUCUUUUUUAUGUCUUUUCAUUUCAUUUUGCUUGUUCUUCAUUAAUCAUGUGUGAGUAAAUUAUCGCCUUAAUGGUUGAUUCUUAAUGUGUUUAGCAUAAAAUCUACUCGUUUUCAUAAUCUAGAAUUUAGAUGAAAACAAUUAAGGAGUUUGAGAGGGGAAGCUAGAGAGAAUUAGAGAAUCAUUUUUUUUGCUAGCAAGAAUCAGAAAAUCAUGAGUUCGUCAUUUAAUUUUUGUAUAAGAUACUCUGAGUUACUUUCACAUUAAUUGGCAUCUCUAAUUUUCUAUUUAUUUACAUAAAAAACUAGAUAAUUAAUUUACUGUGACAAGAAAGGAUCAAGGACGAUCAUAAGUAGCAGUCGGCUACCCCUCAUGGUAACAUGAAGUGUUCACUGAAGAAAUAUAACUAUGAGAUCGAUUGGUAAUGACUGUUACUUGUGACGGUAGAGUAAAAAUUUUCACUAUAGAGACUUUGACCGCAAAAACUUUGUUGUAAACACUUUAACUUUUUAAAAUUUUAUCGUCAACAAAAAUAACUAUAAAAGAUGAAAUAUUUUUUUCUAUUAUAUAUAAUUUUUAUAAAUAUAUGAUGAUAAAUUCAUAUGUAACAUAGUGACAAAUAAU